rnacentral:piRNA from 1 species
CCAUUUUACAAAUGAAGGCUUCAUCUGA